rnacentral:rRNA from 1 species
UCGCCGGAGGAGGAGCCCGCGGCCGAUUAGCUGGAUGGUAGGGUAACGGCCUACCAUGGCUGAGAUCGGUAGCCGGCCUGAGAGGGCACACGGCCACACUGGCACUGAAACACGGGCCAG